AAAAAGUCACGUUUGUAGAAGGGACAGCCGCCAACCAACAGCUGGACGCGUCGAGCUCAGCCCGGGAGGCGGAGACUCUACCUGCAGCACCUGUACAGGUUUUGUCCAAAGGUGCCGGAGAGGAAGAGGACGAUGAAAGAGAGUCUGACGUCUCUGAAGGACAGCUGGUCACAGGGAGCGCUGCGUCGUACUCUGAUGACUCUGAAAUCUCUGAGGAAAUCAUCGAAGAUGUGGAGGACGUCC